GACGAACGCUGGCGGCGUGCCUAACACAUGCAAGUCGAACGGAACUUAUCGAAUGAAGUUUUCGGAUGGAUUUUGGUAAGUUUAGUGGCGGACGGGUGAGUAACGCGUGAGUAACCUGCCUUCAAGAGGGGAAUAACGUUCUGAAAAGAACGCUAAUACCGCAUAACGUGCGGUCCUCGCAUGGGGACUGUACCAAAGAUUUUAUCGCUGGAAGAUGAGCUCGCGGCCGAUUAGGUAGUUGGUGAGAUAACAGCCCACCAAGCCGACGAUCGGUAGCCGGACUGAGAGGUUGAUCGGCCACAUUGGGACUGAGACACGGCCCAG
rnacentral:rRNA from 1 species